UUUACAGUAUGGAAAUUGGUGAUUUAUAAUAACUUGGCAAAUCGCAAAGUGAAAACAGGCGAUAAAUCAUUCAAGUUUCUGACCUAUCAGCUUUCGACGGUAUGGUAUUGGCUUACCGUGGCAGUGACGGUUAACGGGGGAUUAGGGUUCGAUUCCGGAGAGGGAGCCUGAGAAACGGCUACCACAUCUAAGGAAGGCAGCAGGCGCGCAAAUUACCCAAUUCUAACAGUUUGAGAGAGGUAGUAACAAGAAAUAACAAUACAAGGCAAUUAAAAUGCUUUGUAAUUGGAAUGAUAGAAAUUUAAACCCUUUUUAAAGUAUCAAUUGGAGGGCAAGUCUGGUGCCAGCAGCCGCGGUAAUUCCAGCUCCAAUAGCGUAUAUUAAAAUUGUUGCAGUUAAAAAGCUCGUAGUUGAAGUUCUGCUAAAAGUAACCGGUCUGCUUUUAAUAAAAGUGGUAUCUUGGUGUGUAUUUAGCAAUGAUGUCCUUUGAAGUGUUUUUUACUUUAUUGUAAUAAAGCAUAUUCAGGACUUUUACUUUGAGAAAAUUAGAGUGUUUCUAGCAGGCCGACGCUUUGAAUACUGCAGC
rnacentral:rRNA from 1 species